GGCCUCACAGCUUAGCGGGUAGAGCGCGCGCUGUGCAAAAUCGUAUGCGGCGUCCAUGUGUGGGUUUGAAUCCCACAGAGGCUG
rnacentral:tRNA from 1 species